rnacentral:tRNA from 1 species
UCCCUGGAGGACUAGUGGUUAGGCCACAGUGCGCUCACUGCUGCGGCUCAGGGUUUGAUUCCUGGCCAGGGAA